rnacentral:lncRNA from 1 species
AUGGUUGUCAAGAGAAGCACAAAAAGCAUCCCAUUAGAACGGCUUCAGUCUUUUCUCUCUCUGAUUUCCUCUCCAGGUUCUCCCAACAGGACGAUAAACUCAUCUGGAAGGCAGAGGGCCUGCCCAUUCAUAAACCUGUUGAUGUGGUCCCCAGAGUACCAGUUUAAGAUGGCAAGACCAACACUGUUGAUUCUGGGGCCAGAACUGGGACAAGUCCUUGAUUUGUCUACACUAGCUGUAUACACCAUCUACCUCCUGAGAGGAUUCAUUUUUCUUCCUAUUGCUAAAAAGGAGGAGUUGAGAAGAACUGGACCAAACAGCAGGUUGAGAGUACCCACAUCUGCCAAAGGGGCAGGGGGCUCAGAUGAAAUGAACAAAGUCAUGGCCCUCACGGGGUUCAGCUUCAUUGGAAAGACAGACCAGAAACCAACUCAUGACCAUGGGGAGAGCACCAUGAGGAUGCAGGUAUGA